AUACGCCGAGAGGUAAAAGGUCAGCCGCCGGGAGAGGGGCUCGCGUCCGAUUAGCUAGUUGGUGGGGUAAGAGCUCACCAAGGCGACGAUCGGUAGCCGUUUUGAGAGGAAGAACGGCCACACUGGGACUGAGACACGGCCCAGACUCCUACGGGAGGCAGCAGUGGGGAAUCUUCCGCAAUGGGCGCAAGCCUGACGGAGCCAGACCGCGUGGGGGAGGAAGGCCCUUGGGUUGUAAACCCCUUUUCUCAGGGAAGAAACCUGACGGUACCUGAGGAAAAAGCCUCGGCUAACUCCGUGCCAGCAGCCGCGGUAAUACGGAGGAGGCAAGCGUUAUCCGGAAUUACUGGGCGUAAAGCGUUCGUAGGGGGCUCGUCAAGUCUGCUGUCAAAGCUCGGAGCUCAACUCCGAAGGGGCAGUGGAAACUGGGGAGCUAGAGGGCGGCAGGGGCAGAAGGAAUUCCCGGUGUAGCGGUGAAAUGCGUAGAGAUCGGGAAGAACACCAGAGGCGAAAGCGUUCUGCUGGGCCGCGCCUGACCCUGAGG
rnacentral:rRNA from 1 species